UACGUAGGUGGCAAGCGUUGUCCGGAUUUACUGGGCGUAAAGAGCGCGCAGGCGGUCGUUCAAGUCGCGUGUGAAAGCCCCCGGCUCAACUGGGGAGGGUCACGCGAUACUGAUCGACUGGAAGGCAGGAGAGGGUAGUGGAAUUCCCGGUGUAGUGGUGAAAUGCGUAGAUAUCGGGAGGAACACCAGUGGCGAAGGCGACUACCUGGCCUGUUCUUGACGCUGAGGAGCGAAAGCGUGGGGAGCGAAGAGG
rnacentral:rRNA from 1 species